UGCCAGCAGCCGCGGUAACACGGAGGCCCCAAGCGUUGUUCGGAUUUACUGGGCGUAAAGAGUACGUAGGCGGCGAGGUAAGUCAGAUGUGAAAGCCCGGGGCUCAACCUCGGAACUGCAUCCGAUACUGCCUUGCUAGAGGGUUGGAGAGGAGACUGGAAUUCAUGGUGUAGCAGUGAAAUGCGUGGAUAUCAUGAGGAAGACCAACGGCGAAGGCAGGUCUCUGGACAACUCCUGACGCUGAGGUACGAAGGCUGGGGGAGCGAAAAGGAUUAGAUA
rnacentral:rRNA from 1 species